GGAAGGAGCAGACUUUGCCUUUUGUCCCUCAGUCUGUUGCCUGGUGGGGUGGGAAGACCCUUCUCAGCUCCUUUGCAAAGAACCCGGCACCAUGGCCCCCAAGAAACCUGAACCAAAGAAAGAGGCAGCCAAGCCUGCUCCUGCCCCAGCAGCAGCCCCGGCACCGGCACCAGAACCACCAAAGGAACCCACCUUCGAUCCCAAGAGUAUAACUAUUGACUUCAGUGCUGACCAGAUUGAAGAGUUUAAGGAGGCCUUCAUGCUGUUUGACAGGACCCCAACCGGGGAGAUGAAGAUCACCUACAGUCAGUGUGGUGAUGUCCUGAGGGCUCUUGGGCAGAACCCAACCAAUGCUGAAGUCCUGAAGGUGCUGGGCAAGCCCAGACCAGAAGAAAUGAACACAAAGAUGCUCGACUUCGAGACCUUCCUCCCAAUGCUGCAGCACAUCUCCCGCUCCAAGGACCAGGGAACCUUUGAGGACUUUGUGGAAGGCCUGCGUGUCUUUGACAAGGAGGGGAAUGGCACAGUCAUGGGUGCAGAACUGCGCCAUGUGCUUGCCACGCUGGGCGAGAAGCUGAACGAAAAUGAAGUGGAGCAAUUGAUGACAGGACAGGAAGAUGCCAACGGCUGCAUCAACUAUGAAGGUAGGCGGAGAAGAUUCCUUUUGUGGCUACCCCAGCCAUUUCAGUCUGCUCUGAGAUGCUAAAUGUAUCUUCUGACCACACGGAAAGAGAAACUGGGGGUCAGUGAGUGGGGAAAACCCAUCUGACGCCCAUCCUAGUCAACUAAUUUGAAAUCGGGAGAAUGUACCAGAGAUUUCCAACAAAAUGUUCCCAGGAUGCAAUGUACCUAGUGGUCACAUGUGCAAAGGCAGGGGAGUGAGGGCAGUUCUAGCCCCCACUCUGACAGUGGUUUGGUGUGGGACAGAGGCGAAGUGCCUGUGUAUUCAAUAGUUCACUGGUGCUGUGUCAUAUGACCUCAAAAUGCAGGGCAAGAUCUCCCAGGCUUUCCCAUCAAAAUGCCCCAAGAGCAAUUUCUGUAGCAGGGAAAGGGAUGCUCCGCAGUGCUCCUCUAGACUGACCCCUUGUCUAGAACCUAGAAAAGGUUUGCCAGUAGAAUUAGUACAGGCAGAACCGCAAACCUGUCUAGUGGAGACCAGGUUAUACCAGAAAAAGAGUGCUUUUUGCUGGUGUAGCUUAUACCAGUUCCCUGAAUGAAAUAAGCUAUACCAGCAAAAAGCCCGUGUCAGUAUAACUUUGUCUAUGCUAGGGCUUUUGGCAGUAUAGAAAUGUUGUAAAAAAAACCCCACACUCCUAACUGACGUAAUUAUAUCAGGAAAUGUUUCUAGUAUCGACCUGGAUUCAAGGGCCCGCAACUCCAGCCAUGAUCGGACCAUGCAUCUGGCAUUUCUGAUGAGAACUAAAUGGACCUGUUAAGGGAUGCUGAUGUUGCUGCCAAAGUGCAAGUCAAAUCAUUUCCCCCGUUUUUCAAAUCCCUUUUCUGAUCUCUGUGAAAAUCCAAACCUGGAAGCUGGGAUGAGAUUUCAAGCUGCUGUCCAAACUCGGCUCACGAUGGCCACUUCACCCUGGGUUAGAGCCUUGUGGACAGGGCUAGUAUGAGUGUGAUACAGUUACUAUGGGCCCCUAAAUCCCAAGGAGUCCCAUACUUCUGGGGGAGCUGGAAAGCCUGGAAGCUUGUGGGAGAUUUCUCAGUGUACAUAAUCCCAAGGAACCACAUAGAACAUAGGAACAUGUUGCACCAUGACUCUCAAACACAGAUGGGUGCCCCUGCACCGGUACUCUAGCCUUUUGUUUCUGGUAGUCGUGACUUCAGUGGGAUUACCCAGCAUGUGUGAAGUUAAACACGUUUGCAGGACUGGGGCCUAAUCCUCUUUCCUUUCACGGAUCACUUUAAUGAUGAACCUCUGUACUAGGCUCCGGUGCACCAUUGCAAUGCCUGCCUUCCACCAACAUGUGGGUACUCUAACCCACCGUUAUAAGGUGGCUGGCCCUUUAAAGGGAGAAGGGUCUCAGCCCUUCCUGUGACACAACCUACUGUCCUCCACAGAUGGGGAAAAUGAAGCAAGUCAUGCAACUAGGGGGUCAUGUGACCCAAUCAGGCCUCUCUCUGGGGUAGAUAAGGAGGAGGUCUGGGGAGAGAAUCCAGGCAGGAAGGUGUGGAACUGGGAAUGAGUGGGCAAUAGGGAGUUUGAAUGCUCCUGUAGGGGACCCUGAGACACCAGGGGGGAAAAGACUCUAGCUAGGUAGUGCUGGGAGUGGCAGGGAAGGUUCCAGGUGGCAAAUACUGGGAGUGGCUUGAUGAAAAGCGGGAAACGAUAUUUAUAUAGACCUUAAAAUAUAUGAACUCUUGAUUUUGACUUCGAGGACUUUAUUUUGGAAUUGUUUAUGACACUAAACGAGCCCAUGUAAAGCGGAUAGAAGACAGCCUUUAUUAAAUUACUCAGGAACCUUGAGGAGAGGGAAACUGAGGCAAGGAUGCUGCAGAGCCACCCUGUGCCACAAGGGGGCGCUCUGAAGGUGGCCACCUUGUUACACCCACCAGGGAGCUUGAUUGUUCUACAGCAACCCAAGUCCCUCAGAGGACUGACUUGCACUCCAUUAAAUGAAAGGUGAUUGGUAUUAAAUGGUGCUGCUGAUCUCUGAGAGUGGAAUUUGCAAAAGACCUACAAUCAGGGCAAGGUUUUCAAGAGUGUUCAGCAUGUUGACUGCAUGCUGGGUGCUGAAGUCUUUUGAGAAUCUGGCUGUAAGUGGCACAAUGGGAACUCCUGAGAGCUGAGUGGUUUUGAGCAGCUCUCCUCAACUGUGGGUGCGGGAGGUGCCUAGCGCUUGGAAAUUUCACCCCGAGCUCAUGGGAAAUUUGUCCCCACCUCUGGUUAACUGGUGGAGUUACCCAAAAGGGCUGGGAACUGCUGUGACGUGCUGUUUGCACCAGAGGGCAAGGGCUCGCAUUCUGGUUUGGGUGGAUUUUUUAAUGCCUUUCUUGUUGUUUCCUGCUCAGCUUUUGUCAAGCACAUCAUGUCUGGUUGAAACAAGACUCUUCAGGGUUUUCUGAAACGUUUCCAUCCAACUAAGCAUUGCCAACAGCAAGAAUUCUUGACCCAUGUCCCUUCCUUCCUAAAAUGUCCUGAGUCCACAGCUGUGUCUUACAUGAGCCACAACAAAGAGUCCUCAUAGCCACAAUGUACCAACCCUACACUAUUGUGUGCAAUCACCUCUGUAUAUAAAAGGACACGUCUGCCCUUCCAUUUUUAAUCUUAAUUUAUUCUUUUGAUUUUUUUUCUCCCUGCAUCGUUUGACCCAUUAAAAUUCACCCACACCCUGAA